rnacentral:rRNA from 1 species
GACGAACGCUGGCGGCGUGCUUAACACAUGCAAGUCGAACGGAAAGGCCCUGCUUUUGUGGGGUGCUCGAGUGGCGAACGGGUGAGUAACACGUGAGUAACCUGCCCUUGACUUUGGGAUAACUUCAGGAAACUGGGGCUAAUACCGGAUAGGAGCUCCUGCUGCAUGGUGGGGGUUGGAAAGUUUCGGCGGUUGGGGAUGGACUCGCGGCUUAUCAGCUUGUUGGUGGGGUAGUGGCUUACCAAGGCUUUGACGGGUAGCCGGCCUGAGAGGGUGACCGGCCACAUUGGGAUUGAGAUCCGGCCCGGACUCCUACGGGAGGCAGCGGUGGGAAAUAUUGCACAAGGGGCGGAGGCCUGUGGCGCAAACGCCGGGUGGGGAAUAACGGCCUUCGGGUGGAAACCGCUUUCGCCUGUGACGAAGCGUGAGUGACGGUAAUGGGUAAAGAAGCACCGGCUAACUACGUG